GAUGAACGCUGGCGGCGUGCUUAACACAUGCAAGUCGAGCGAUUAAAGCCCCUUCGGGGGUGUAUAGAGUGGCGAACGGGUGAGUAACACGUGGGUAACCUGCCCUCUGCUUCGGGAUAACUCAGGGAAACUUGAGCUAAUACCGAAUACUCCGGACUGAUCGCAUGGUCGGUCCGGGACAGUUCCGGCGGCAGAGGAUGGACCCGCGGCCCAUUAGCUUGUUGGUAGGGUAACGGCCUACCAAGGCGACGAUGGGUAGCCGAGCUGAGAGGCUGAGAGGCCACACUGGGACUGAGGCACGGCCCACACUCCUACGGGAGGCAGCAGUGGGGAAUUUUGCGCAAUGGGCGAAAGCCUGACGCGGCAACGCCGCGUGCGGGAUGAAGGCCUUCGGGUUGUAAACCGCUUUCAGCAGGGAUGAACACAGACAGUACCUGCAGAAGAAGCCCCGGCUAACUACGUGCCAGCAGCCGCGGUAACAC
rnacentral:rRNA from 1 species